rnacentral:rRNA from 1 species
UACAGAGGGUGCAAGCGUUAAUCGGGAUUACUGGGCGUAAAGCGCGCGCAGGCGGUUUUCCAAGUCAGUGGUGAAAGCCCGGAGCUCAACUCCGGAACUGCCAUUGAAACUGGCGAACUUGAGUACGAGAGAGGUGAGUGGAAUUCCCAGUGUAGAGGUGAAAUUCGUAGAUAUUGGGAAGAACACCGGUGGCGAAGGCGGCUCACUGGCUCGUAACUGACGCUCAGGCGCGACAGCGUGGGGAUCAAACAGG